rnacentral:rRNA from 1 species
GUGGGGAAUUUUGCACAAUGGGCGAAAGCCUGAUGCAGCAACGCCGCGUGUGUGAUGAAGGUCUUCGGAUUGUAAAGCACUUUCGACCGGGACGAAACACCCCUGGCUAAUAUCCAGGGGCCUGACGGUACCGGGAGAAGAAGCACCGGCUAACUCUGUGCCAGCAGCCGCGGUAAUACAGAGGGUGCAAGCGUUGUUCGGAAUUAUUGGGCGUAAAGCGCGUGUAGGCGGCUUUGCAAGUCGGGUGUGAAAUCCCUCGGCUUAACCGAGGAAGUGCGCCCGAAACUGCAGAGCUUGAGUACCGGAGAGGGUGGCGGAAUUCCCCAAGUAGAGGUGAAAUUCGUAGAUAUGGGGAGGAACACCGGUGGCGAAGGCGGCCACCUGGACGGAUACUGACGCUGAGACGCGAAAGCGUGGGGAGCAAACAGGAUUAGAUACCCUUGUAGUCC